AAACGGCAGACCAAAAGUGCAACAACAUGUAUAGUUGGAGGACGCUUUUUGCUAAUUUUGAAGUUUGGGGACGAUUUUCGCAUGAAGGCAAUAGUUGGGGGACCAAAAGUGCAAUUAAGCCUUUUAUUUUUCUAUUGAGGGGCUUGUGUAGGGUGUCCUGCAGGUGAAGAAGGAGUAUCCGAUUCAUUUUCUUUUCUUCUUUUCUUUACCUUUAUUGUCUUAAUUUCUUAUCAUGAGCUCAUGUGCGUCUAUAUGCUCAAGUCGGUGUAUAUUGCUCAUGUUUGUUCAAUGUUUAUGUUAUUGUUUAGGUUUUCAUUUGUCACCACUAGCCAAUAAUAUGAGAAAACUGAUGUGUGUGUUCUCUAAAACCACACAAGAAACUGUUAAUUGCAUUUCAUUCUUAAGUACUUUUUCUGAUAAUAUAGUAUGUCGGUGUAUAUCUGCAUAGCAUGUUGAUUUCACUAAUCUUGUAGGUAACAUGUAUAUGCAGGUAGCUUGUACCAUCCACUUCACAAGUGACAAGAAGAACCAAAUUAACACCAUCUUCUUUUAAUGUGACAAAGUAAUGUGAGAAAGUCUUGAUUUGAUCAUUUAUGUGAAUGACAACUUCAAAGGCCAUCUCUGUUUCUUAAUUGAACACCAAGGUGGACAUGUGAUUCAAUGUUAAAAAUGCAUAUUGGCUAAGUGACGGGGUCAGAGAGAAGAUUAUACAAAUGCAUGAUAAAAACCAUAUCAAGAUGGAUGAGGAGCUUGAGAUUUCUUCCACCAGAACUAUAAAGCAGAAGUUUGUCUUCUCACAUUUGUUGUCUGCUUCCUUCUAUAUUGUAAGAUUGAUCCUUAUGCUAUCAUUUUAUCUUCAAGGGUCUUUUAUUAAAUUCUUUAAAAGCAUGCUUAAAUUUUUUAACUUGAUCGAAUUUAGCAUUAUCAGAAUGUGUUUGUUUGAUUAUUGACCUUAUUUAGGUAUAUAUGUUGUUAAAUUGUUUGGUAUGGCUCUUCUCGGUUAUCCAUACAAGCAGCUCAAUGAUGUAAACCAUUUGUGCAUUUUAUUUAUGUUAUUUACUGGCGGUUUGUUGCUAACCAGUAGGCACAAUGAACUGGCAAAAAUUCAUGUCAAUGGCCAUCUGAUUAAGGUAUUCAUCAAUGAGAUGUUACUGUGCUUAUAUGCUAUACCUUGUUUUAACUUAUGUUACUGUGUUAUACCUUGUUUUAGUUUGGUGAUGUGUAUUGAUUUUGCCGUCAGCUUUCAUAGCUUUUGAAAUGUGUACCCUUUCGGUUAAAUUAUGAUCAAUAUAUCUUAUUUUCAGAAAAAAAAAAAUGUUGAUCUUUUGGCUGAACAGGUGUGGUAAUUAAUUCAACCAAAAAAAAAAAAACAAAUUACAGCGGUUCCGUGGUGGAACCGUUGUAAUAUAUAUAAUCAAAUACAGCGGUUACCGCCUGAAACCGCUGUAAAAGAAGACUCAAGUACAGCGGUUAUUUUAGAGAACAGCUGUUGUAGGUAUGUAUUUACAGCGGUUUUAUUAAAUCAACCGCUGUAAAUAAUGAGUCUUUUACAGCAGUUAGAACCGCUGUUAAGGCUUUUACAGCGGCAAGAUCUACAGCGGUUCUGGACCGCUGAAAACCGCUGUAAAAGGCAAAAAAAAACCGCUGUAAAAGCCA